rfam:Otolemur garnettii contig059044, whole genome shotgun sequence.
UCAAAGGCCCUUUUCAGGGCCACCCACAUUUUUCCGCAGAAGAGUU